rnacentral:tmRNA from 1 species
GGGGGCGAUAUGGUUUCGACGGGAAGUUGUGACAACAAAGGUAGCGAGUCGAGAUCCCGCCAACCUCGCAAAACGGUGGAAAGCACUAUAAGUGCCGAAAACAAUUACGCUUACGCUGCUUAAAUAAAGCGGCCGUCCAAUCCGGGCUUAUCCUGGGAGACCGGUGCGGGCGUCAAAUAAACCGGGACGCUCCCAAUCCAAUUCUCGGAGGAUUUGGGCUAAGAUAAUCGAGAUAGCCGCAGCGGAACUCGCGUGGGAGAGCCUCAGCGGUGAAACUAAAACCCCACGCUACACUCGUAGAGACCUUUCGAGUUGCCUUUUCGGACGCGGGUUCGAUUCCCGCCGCCUCCACCA